AAAGUUUCUUAACGCCUUUAAUUAUAAAAUAAUUCGAAAAAGUAAUCAGGAAUAACCUUUAUGUUUUCAUUUAUAUAAUUGAUAUAAAUCAAAACAUCGUGUUAUUUCUGAUUAAUUUUUCGAAUUACUUUAUUAAGGUGUUGAGAACCUUUGGUGACCCCAUAGUUUAAGUGUCUUUAAAAAGUACAUAGUGAGCAGUGGUCGUUACAUACAAACGUUCACCUAAAUUGUCCCAGUCAAUGGAUGAAUUUAAUGUGUCAAUCAAUGGCCGCAGCCACACUGUUUUGAAUUUCAUUCUAAAUACAUGA
rnacentral:lncRNA from 1 species